CUGUUCAGUAUUGACGGAGUGACUUGGUAUCACCACCCAGUACAGCCUUCUGUGGGGAUUUAUCUACUAACCAGGCCCGUGUUCGCCCAGUACGUCCGCCUCCUGCCAGUAGACAGCAAGUUGUUUUUAGGCCUUCGCUUUGACGUCUUGGGGUGCACGUCUGACGACACCGCUCGCGACAUCUUAUGCAGCAGGACAGCCGCCGACCUCGGCCUCGACGGUUC